rnacentral:ncRNA from 1 species
AGCCUGCGGCUUAAUUUGACUCAACACGGGAAAACUUACCAGGUCCAGACAUAGUAAGGAUUGACAGAUUGAGAUCUCUUUCUUGAUUCUAUGGGUGGUGGUGCAUGGAUGUUCUUAGUUGGUGGAGUGAUUUGUCUGGUUAAUUCCGAUAACGAACGAGACCUCAGCUUGCUAACUAGCUACGCGGAGGUUCCCCUUUGCGGCUAGCUUCUUAGAGGGACUAUGGCCGUUUAGGCCAUGGAAGUUUGAGCCAAUAACAGGUCUGUGAUGCCCUUAGAUUUUCUGGGCCGCACGCGCGCUACACUGAUGCAGUCAACGAGUUUUUCUCCCUGGUUUGAGAGGAUCGGGAAAUCUUCUCAAAUUGCAUCGUGAUGGGGAUAGACCAUUGCAAUUAUUGGUCUUCAACGAGGAAUUCCUAGUAAGCGCGUGUCAUCAUCUUGUGUUGACUACGUCCCUGCCCUUUGUACACACCACCCGUCGCUCCUACCGAUUGAAUGAUCCGGUGAAGUGUUCGGAUCGCGUCAAUGAGGGUGGUUCGUCGUCGACGAUGUUGUGAGAAGUUCACUGAACCUUAUCAUUUAGAGGAAGGAGAAUUCAUAACAAGGUUACCUUAGGUGAACCUGCGGUAGGAUCAUUG